rnacentral:rRNA from 1 species
AGGACGAACGCUGGCGGCGUGCUUAACACAUGCAAGUCGAGCGGAAAGGCCUUUCGGGGUACUCGAGCGGCGAACGGGUGAGUAACACGUGAGUAAUCUGCCCAUCGCUUCAGGAUAGCCAUCGGAAACGGUGAUUAAUACUGAAUAUGACAUUCCUUCGCAUGUUGGGGUGUGGAAAGUUUUUUCGGCGGUGGAUGUGCUCGCGGCCUAUCAGCUUGUUGGUGGGGUAAUGGCCUACCAAGGCUUUGACGGGUAGCCGGCCUGAGAGGGUGACCGGCCACACUGGGACUGAGACACGGCCCAGACUCCUACGGGAGGCAGCAGUGGGGAAUAUUGGACAAUGGGCGAAAGCCUGAUCCAGCAACGCCGCGUGAGGAUGACGGCCUUCGGGUUGUAAACCGUCUUUCAGCGCCGACGAAGCGAGAGUGACGGUAGGCGCAGAAGAAGCACCGGCCAACUACGUGCCAGCAGCCGC